rnacentral:rRNA from 1 species
AAAUUGAAGAGUUUGAUCAUGGCUCAGAUUGAACGCUGGCGGCAGGCCUAACACAUGCAAGUCGAACGGUAACAGGAAGAAGCUUGCUUCUUUGCUGACGAGUGGCGGACGGGUGAGUAAUGUCUGGGAAACUGCCUGAUGGAGGGGGAUAACUACUGGAAACGGUAGCUAAUACCGCAUAACGUCGCAAGACCAAAGAGGGGGACCUUCGGGCCUCUUGCCAUCGGAUGUGCCCAGAUGGGAUUAGCUUGUUGGUGGGGUAACGGCUCACCAAGGCGACGAUCCCUAGCUGGUCUGAGAGGAUGACCAGCCACACUGGAACUGAGACACGGUCCAGACUCCUACGGGAGGCAGCAGUGGGGAAUAUUGCACAAUGGGCGCAAGCCUGAUGCAGCCAUGCCGCGUGUAUGAAGAAGGCCUUCGGGUUGUAAAGUACUUUCAGCGGGGAGGAAGGGAGUAAAGUUAAUACCUUUGCUCAUUGACGUUACCCGCAGAAGAAGCACCGGCUAACUCCGUGCCAGCAGCCGCGGUAAUACGGAGGGUGCAAGCGUUAAUCGGAAUUACUGGGCGUAAAGCGCACGCAGGCGGUUUGUUAAGUCAGAUGUGAAAUCCCCGGGCUCAACCUGGGAACUGCAUCUGAUACUGGCAAGCUUGAGUCUCGUAGAGGGGGUAGAAUUCCAGGUGUAGCGGUGAAAUGCGUAGAGAUCUGGAGGAAUACCGGUGGCGAAGGCGGCCCCUGGACGAAGACUGACGCUCAGGUGCGAAAGCGUGGGGAGCAAACAGGAUUAGAUACCCUGGUAGUCCACGCCGUAAACGAUGUCGACUUGGAGGUUGUGCCCUUGAGGCGUGGCUUCCGGAGCUAACGCGUUAAGUCGACCGCCUGGGGAGUACGGCCGCAAGGUUAAAACUCAAAUGAAUUGACGCCCGCACAAGCGGUGGAGCAUGGGUUUAAUUCGAUGCAACGCGAAGAACCUUACCUGGUCUUGACAUCCACGGAAGUUUUCAGAGAUGAGAAUGUGCCUUCGGGAACCGUGAGACAGGUGCUGCAUGGCUGUCGUCAGCUCGUGUUGUGAAAUGUUGGGUUAAGUCCCGCAACGAGCGCAACCCUUAUCCUUUGUUGCCAGCGGUCCGGCCGGGAACUCAAAGGAGACUGCCAGUGAUAAACUGGAGGAAGGUGGGGAUGACGUCAAGUCAUCAUGGCCCUUACGACCAGGGCUACACACGUGCUACAAUGGCGCAUACAAAGAGAAGCGACCUCGCGAGAGCAAGCGGACCUCAUAAAGUGCGUCGUAGUCCGGAUUGAGUCUGCAACUCGACUCCAUGAAGUCGGAAUCGCUAGUAAUCGUGGAUCAGAAUGCCACGGUGAAUACGUUCCCGGGCCUUGUACACACCGCCCGUCACACCAUGGGAGUGGGUUGCAAAAGAAGUAGGUAGCUUAACCUUCGGGAGGCGCUUACCACUUUGUGAUUCAUGACUGGGGUGAAGUCGUAACAAGGUAACCGUAGGGGAACCUGCGGUUGGAUCACCUCCUUA